CUAUGACAUAGGUCAUGGCGGAAGGAG
rnacentral:ncRNA from 1 species